rnacentral:rRNA from 1 species
CAGUAGCCGCGGGAAUACAGAGGGUGCGAGCGUUAAUCGGAUUUACUGUGCGUAAAGCGUGCGUAGGCGGCUUUUUAAGUCGGAUGUGAAAUCCCUGAGCUUAACUUAGGAAUUGCAUUCGAUACUGGGAAGCUAGAGUAUGGGAGAGGAUGGUAGAAUUCCAGGUGUAGCGGUGAAAUGCGUAGAGAUCUGGAGGAAUACCGAUGGCGAAGGCAGCCAUCUGGCCUAAUACUGACGCUGAGGUACGAAAGCAUGGGGAGCAAACAGGAUUAGAUACCCGGGUAGUCCCUGUCUCUUAUAA